GGGCGCCAUUUUGUAGCGCAGAGAACCCGCAAAUAAAGAGCGGGCGGGAGCGGCGUGCGGGGGAGCUCGGGCGGGGGGAGGCGCGGCCGUCCUGGCUGCGGAGCUGGUGGCGGCGGAGGCGCCCGCGUAGCUGGUGGCGGCAGGCGUGGAGGUGGCGGCGUUUCGCCCCUGCUCGAUGUGAGGCGGAGCGCGGCCCAGGCAAGCGGCGUGCGAGGGGCGCGGGGCCUCCGCGCCGCAGGCGGGAGAGUUCACAAUGACGAAUGAAGAACCUCUCCCAAAGAAGGUUCGCCUUAGUGAAGCAGAUUUUAAGGUUUUACCUAGAGAUGAGCUUAUCCUAAGGUGGAAACAAUACGAAGCAUAUGUGCAAGCUCUGGAGGGCAAGUACACAGACCUUAAUUCUAAUGAUGUGACGGGGCUGAGAGAAUCUGAAGAGAAGUUGAAACAGCAACAGCAAGAGUCUGCCCGAAGAGAAAAUAUUCUGGUGAUGAGGCUGGCAACUAAGGAACAGGAGAUGCAAGAGUGUACUAAUCAGAUUCAGUACCUCAAGCAAGUCCAGCAGCCUAGUGUUGCCCAACUGCGAUCAACAAUGGUAGACCCAGCCAUCAACUUGUUUUUCCUAAAAAUGAAAGGUGAACUGGAACAGACUAAAGACAAACUGGAACAAGCCCAAAAUGAACUGAGUGCCUGGAAAUUUACGCCUGAUAGGUAAACAAAACAAAUACUCCCCAGUCAAGACUUCCCUGACAGUCCCACUACGAGAAUGCUAUGGUGGGACAGCCAAGUACUCGUUUCCACACCAAGACUCAGACGUUUUGAGGCAAAAGCCACAUUCUUAUACUGUCCAGCUUGUAAUGAUUAAUGUAAAACUUACCAGAUGAACCUUGUGUUUCAGCUUUUUUCUCCCCUUUGCUUCAGAGGCCUGACAACGUCGGACUAUUCUGAGGAAAUGGCCAUCUUCGAAAAAAUGUUUUCUAGAACAUGUAGACAUUUGCAAAAUUGUUCUAUUUGAAGAAAAUAGAGGGAGAAACAGAAGUCUUAAGUCUGUGGCACACUGUGUCUACAGACAGUUUGGAGGAGAGAGAACGUAGAGAUUAUAAAUCAUGAAUUGAACAUGUAAAAUUCCCAAAAAAUGUAGAAGUGGAAUAUGCUUCGCUCAUAACCUUGAGCCUAGUGACUUAGAGACACUGUAAGUCAGUUUUGCCAAUAAGACUGUGGACUUCCUGCUUGUUCACUGAACUGCUGGGUCAAAACUCGAUGAGCCAAACAGGGAAAAAGUUAAUGGCGAAGUGUCGAAUGCUUAUCCAGGAGAAUCAAGAGCUUGGAAGGCAGCUGUCCCAAGGACGUAUUGCACAGCUUGAGGCAGAAUUGGCUUUACAGAAGAAAUAUAGUGAGGAACUUAAAAGCAGUCAGGAUGAAUUGAAUGACUUCAUCAUCCAGCUUGAUGAGGAGGUAGAAGGUAUGCAGAGUACCAUUCUAGUUCUUCAGCAGCAGUUGAAGGAGACGCGGCAGCAGUUGGCACAGUACCAGCAGCAGCAGGCGCAGGCCCCCAACCCAGGUACCAGCAGGACUCCAUCCUCCGAGCCCGCGGAGCAGGGAGAGGCGGCGGGCAAGGACUGCAGCCGCCUGGCAAACGGACCAAGCAAUGGCAGCUCCUCCCACCAGCGGACGUCUGGGCCUGCAUUUUAUAGGGAGGGUAGCGGCACGGAAGAUGACUUCCCGGCUUCUCCAGGGAAUGGUAAUAAGCUUUCCAACCACUCUGAAGAUAGAACUGGUAGAGGAAGUGGUAGCUACAUAAACCAGCUCAGUACUGGGUAUGAAAGUGUAGACUCUCCCACUGGCAGUGAAAACUCUCUCACUCACCACUCAAAUGACACAGACUCCAAUCAUGAUCCUCAAGAGGAGAAAACGGUGAGCAUGAAAGGUAACAGAACUGUGGGUUCUCGUCAUGUCCAGAAUGGUUUGGACUCCAGUGUAAAUGUGCAGGGUUCAGUUUUGUAACAUUUUUCUGCAAAAUUUUUAUACAGUGUCAUUGAAAUUGGGAGAGGAUACUGUCCAGAAGCCGUUUAAAUUAGUGCAUACUUGUCACAAUUUUGCCUUUUUGUGGGUUUCUUUUUGCUUCAAUACCUCUGCCACUUUGGAAAUUUUAACAGUUAAUUACGUUGAAUGUUGCUAAAAGGAUGUUUGUGUAGCUCAAGUUAUUUUUAUAUGAGUUAAUGUGAAGUUGAAAUGGAAAUUAUUUCCAUAAAGUAUAACAUAAAUGAUGUCUGUACAAAUCUGUGUAUAUCUAGAACCUGUGCUGUGUAAGGGCAUUCUUACUCAUACUGUUAUACUUAACACCACCUUCAAGAUUUGUCAUAAUAGCUGUGGGUUUGACUGCCAAGUUUGCCCAGUACAGUAGUUUUAUCACUAAAAAGAUGGACUUACUGAAGGAGUCCUGUAGUAGUUUCAGUGUUAAUUACAGUUUUUCCCACCAUACAUCUGUGCAUUUUCUCCUUAGGUGACCGAAUGUUUAUGAAUUGUGUGCAUAGUUACUCAGUUUUUAAGAACUGUUGUACCCUGUUGAUGCAUAUUGCUCUGUGACUCCAAUAUUAUCUUACCUGUACUGACCAAACCUAAAUAAAAACUUUUAAUAAUGUAAUUUCC